UACGGCUCAGUAACACGUGGCUAACCCACCCUCGGGACGGAGACAACCCCGGGAAACUGGGAUUAAUACCCGAUAGGCGAAGACUCCUGGAACGGGUCUUCACCCAAAAGGUGUUAGGGUCAUGCUCCUUAACAUCGCCCGAGGACGGGGCCGCGGCCGAUCAGGUAGUUGGCGAGGCAACGGCUCACCAAGCCUAUAACCGGUACGGGCCGUGGGAGCGGGAGCCCGGAGAUGGGUACUGAGACAAGGGCCCAGGCCCUACGGGGCGCAGCAGUUGCGAAAACUUGUCAAUGCACGAAAGUGUGAACGGGCUANCCCCGAGUGCCGUCCGCUGAGGAUGGCUUUUCUCUGCUGUAAGAAGGCGGAGGAAUAAGGAGAGGGCAAGUCUGGUGUCAGCCGCCGCGGUAAUACCAGCUCUCCGAGUGGUAGGGAUGAUUAUUGGGCCUAAAGCGUUCGUAGCCGGCCUUCCAAGUCUUUCGUUAAAUCCAGCGAUUCAAUCGUUGGACUGCGGGAGAUACUGUUAGGCUAGGGGACNGGAGAAGCCGACGGUANNCCCGGGGUAGGGGUAAAAUCCUAUAAUCCCGGGAAGACCACCAGUGGCGUAGGCGGUCGGCUAGCACGCGCUCGACGGUGAGGGACGAANGCUGGGGGAGCNNCCGGAUUAGAUACCCNNGUAGNNCCAGC
rnacentral:rRNA from 1 species